UACGUAGGGUGCAAGCGUUGUCCGGAUUUAUUGGGCGUAAAGAGCUCGUAGGCGGUUUGCCGCGUCUGCUGUGAAAACUCGGGGCUUAACCCCGGGCCUGCAGUGGGUACGGGCAGACUAGAGUGCGGUAGGGGAGACUGGAAUUCCUGGUGUAGCGGUGAAAUGCGUAGAUAUCGGGAGGAACACCAGUGGCGAAGGCGACUACCUGGCCCAUUCUUGACGCUGAGGCGCGAAAGCUAGGGGAGCGAACGGG
rnacentral:rRNA from 1 species